UUCUGCCCGCUGCUUAUCUUUUGAUAUAAAAAUUUUAUGUUAGAAUAGUUUCAGAUUUACAGAAAAGUUACAAAGAUAGUACAAAGCGUCUGUUCCCUUUUACUUUCUUCUUUUGUGUUAAAUAUUUUUAGGUGUACCGUUUUAUUUUUAGCUAUAUUUUUGGUUAUUUAUUCUUAGUGGUUGUUCUUGGAAUUGCAGUAUGCAUUUUCAAGGUAUCGCAGUAUUCUUCAGGUGACCACUGAUUCAAUUCCAGUGAAACACAGUAACUGCGCGCCAGAAUAACUUCCUUCUCCCUGCCCCCACUCCUUUUCGGCUGUUAUCAUCGUAUAUAUUGUAUCUAUGUAUGUUAUAAACUCAACAAUACAAUGUUACAAUUGCUGCUUUAAACAGUCUAACAUUUAUUAAGGAAAUAAAGUCUUACAUUUGCCCACACAUUUACCAUUUCUGGUGUUCUCUGUGCAUUCCUGUGAAUCAGUUUCCUUUUAUCCUGAAGGACUUUUUAAAAAUACUCUCGUAGAUCAGGGCUCAGCUUCUGUUUAUUUGGGAGUGCCUUAAUCUCACCUUUAUUUGUGAAGGGGAAUUUCACUGCAUGUAGAAUUCUUGGUCUGCAGCUGACCUCUGGCACUUUGCAUAUGCAAUUCCAUGGCCUCUGGCUUGCACCGUUUCUGAUGGGAAGACAUGUUAAUCUUGUCAGUGGCUCAUUAUAUGUUGUCUUCUUUGGCUGCUUUCAACAUGUCUCGUACUCUUGCAUCUUUGUCAUUCACCUUCUAUGUAUCUCACGUUAGUUGAGAACGUUAGCGGUAACGCUGUGCGUAGGUCUAGCUGCGGAUCUCUGUGGGCUUUUCCUAUUGAGGGUUGCUGAGCAUCUUGUCUACAGAUCAGUGGUUUUGAUUAAGCUGUGACGUUUUCAGCAAUUAUUUUUUCUCCCUCUUCUCUCCUAGUACACUUGAUUUUGUCUUACAUAUUGCUAAGACUGUUCAUUUAUUUUUUCAGUCUUUUUUCUCUGUUCUUCAGAUUGGAUAGUUUCUAUUGCUCAAUCUUUGAAUUCACUAAUUCACCUUUCUGCCAUCUGCAACCUGCUGCUAAGCCCAGCUGGUGAUUUUUUUUCAUUUUUUAAUUAUUUACAACUUUAUAAUUAAUUUUUAAUUUUGUUAAUAAUUUCUGUUUCACUAUUGAGAUUGUCUAUUUGUUGAGUCGUUAUAUUUUCUUUUAUUUUUUUUUUAUUUAUUUAUUUUUUUGCCGUACGCAGGCCUCUCACUGUUGUGGCCUCUCCCGUUGCGGAGCACAGGCUCCAGACGCGCAGGCUCAGCGGCCAUGGCUCACGGGCCCAGCCGCUCCGUGGUGUGUGGGAUUUUCCCGGACCGGGGCACGAACCCGUGUCCCCUGCAUCGGCAGGCGGACUCUCAACCACUGCGCCACCAGGGAAGCCCUUUUCUUUUAAUUUUUUGAACAUAUUUAUAAUAGGUGCUUUGAAGUCUUUGUCUACUAAAUCCAAACUAUGGGCCCGUUCAGUCUGUUUAUAUUGCCUUUUUUUUCCCCUGAGUAUGAGUCAUACUUUCCUAUUUUCUUUUCAGUCUAGUAAAAUUUUAAACAAACUGGACAUUUUAGAUCAUGUAUUAUAGCAAUUCUAGAUUCUGUUCUAUUUUUCUUUAGUUUGUGAUUCUUGUUUAUCAUUGCCUGGACCUAAACCCUGGAAUCCGUCACCCCUGUGGUGUACAGGAGAUGUCUCUACUAACUAUUUGUUCUUAUAUUUUUUUGCCUGCCUUUCCUAAGUGCUGCUUCUGUGUCUACAUAGCUCUCUAGUCACCAGUGCUUCAGGCCUCGAGUCUGUAAGGCUCACACCCUCUGAGGGACCCAUGUGUGGGUUGGAGAAUGCGUUGUAAGUUGCAGCUCUUCCUCCGGUUUCGCUUUUUGUCAGGCUCCCUUGGGUCUUUUCCACGCUGAAUAGUUUUCCAUUCACUCAGGGAUGUGAAGAGGGCUCAUCUCAGUCCUUCUAUAGCUCUCUCAUUUCUGCAAUUUCUUUGUUAAAUUUCUCAUGGGUCUGCUGCUUGCCCUAAUUGGGUCUCCAAUCUCAGACUAUUAAAGCUGCAGGUUUUCCCUUGCUAAGAAACCAGAGCUGGAGAGUAGUCCAAGUGGUAAAAAUAGAUGUUAUUCAGGAACUACCGCAACGGGGGAAAAGAGCCCUCAGUAUAGAACUGGGCUCGAUCCCAAACACAGCAAGGACAGGAGGAGAUUUAUGACCAAGGGGCAGGUGACGCAGCUCGGUGGCUGGAAAAUUACUAAGCGGAGACAUCAAGGGUGGGGGAGGCUUUUGCUAAACUGCCUUAACACAGUUCCUUCUGAGGGCAGGCCAGCGUGGUCAGAUAUCACCCGAGAGGUGGCAGCAAAUAGGAACUUGAUCAGAUGUUGAGGGGGAUCAGAAGUGGGAGGCGGGGGAUUCGCGCUACCCUGACUUCGAAGGAUUCUGGCUACAAUAGGGCUGUGCAGGCUGAGGACAAGGCCCAAGGAGGAGGCCUGGUCACGAGAGGAGCUUGGGGCAGCUGCCUGCAGUUCGGACAUGGACGGUCUCUGCCGCCCUCCUUCAUCCCCCACUGAGCCCAGCACUUUCCGCCAGCAGUCACGGGCUGUUCCCCCAGCUCCCCCAACCCCCAAGAGUGUACAUCCUGACAACACAGCUGCUGUUCUGAGCGUCUGAGAGCAGCCCUGGGCAGCGAGGCCGCAGACUCCUCCUCGGAAGUCUAGCACUUGUUCCAAGAACGCUUCUAGGUUUGUUGCUGCCUUUGGUUUCCGGUGCCCUGAAGUGGAUAUUUCAGACAAUUCUGUCCAGUUUUACAUGUGUUUUUCCAGAGAGGAACUGUGGACAUCUCUGUGCCCCCAUCAGAGUGUUCUGUGAAUAACCGAGUGUGCAAGGCAGGGCCCAGUGCCCUUCAACCUCUGUGGCAGUGGAACCCCCUCUUUUUUUUCCAGAGCACCCUGAAAUAUAUAUCUCAUAUCAUAUAUUCUGUUGUUAUAGAUAAUUAUAUAUAUAUAUAAUUUGUCAAGGUCUCAGACCUUCUCAACAAAAGGCAUUUACUUCUCCUCACAGUGGUUCAAGAGACUGACAUGGAAGAGCUGCUACCCCAAGUCUGCUUCCGCAUCCUUCCUGACGAUAACACAGAAAAGCACGCCUCUCAGCAUCUUGUAGUUGGGUGGCCCAUAGAUUUAUACACAGAGGGGAUGGCGGUGCGUAACUCACUUCCCAGCGCACGGCAGUGAAAAGCCCACGUGCUGCUCUUCAAUCUCGUCUCCCUGUCGGUGGCACGACAGGCGGGGGGACCCUGUGUGAAGCUGGCAGGGCUGCGAGCCCGACAGAGUCUUGAUGGCUAAGCCUCACCUGCCUUUGGACAGUACAAGACUUCGGAUGAACAAGAAAUUAGCUCUGAAGCGCUAAGCCACAGCGAUGUAGCGCUGUUUGUUUCCACAUCACGAACCUAGCCUAGGCUGACUUAGGGUUAUAGGAAGGGCAACAGUGAAGUUAUCUUCUGAAGCAGCUGAAAGGUCUGAGGGAAGAAAAUCCUAUUAGCGGUAAACCUACACUCUCGAAAAUGAGUGACUGGCAAACCCGAGUGUCAUUUGAUCUAGCUCCUUGGACGGUGAGGUCAUGUUCACAAUCACGUGCCUUUCCUGCAGUUGUUAAGGUCUGAUCUUGUAAGUGGAAAACAGUGUCUUGGACCUAAUCUAAAGGACAGAUAUAAUGUCAAUUAACUAGACCCAUCUAUCCAGAACCUUCACGUGUAAAAAUGUUUUCAACCCACAAGGUGAAAACAAGAGUCUUUGGGUUUUAACCUUCAGUUAACCAGAAGAUUUAAACCGUGAGCCUUUUCAUUGUUUGAGGUUUUACCUUAUAUGCAAUGAUUUUAACAAUAUGUAAACACUGUGGAGGAAGAAAAUAGAUGGUGUGCUUCAUAAUAGAAAAAGAGCAAAAUUAGUAAAAUUGCUUUCAGUAGGGAAAUACUUAAAGCUUCCAUGUCUAGGAAAAACACUAGCUAAAUUAAAUAUUGCAGCUUACGUUUCAUCUUUAGACACUGACUCUCAGCCUUAAAGAUCCAGUUUCCUCAGGCCUGUGUACCACCCCUCGCCUCGCCCACCCUCGCCUCCACUGCUCGCACCGGAAAGGAGAUUGCGGUGCUUGUGUGCUCCAUCACUGCCUUCAUGAUUGGACAGCCUGUUGGUUUCAGGUUGGAGGAAACGGAAAGGCAGCUGCAGCUCAUGGAAAACAGUGUGGGCCCGUGUGGUGAGGAUCACAGACAUACCAUGAAAGUGAAAUUGUCACCCUCUCCUGCUUUCCCUUUAUUAACUUUGACAUGUGCAUGAAAAUUAAAUCCUGGUUUCCUGGGGGUUCAUCGGCUCCUGCAGCUUCUGCCUUACCUGCAGGCUUCAUCCUCUGUUGGUGACGUGAUAGUCAGGUCUCCAGCAAGCAAUUAUGAUGUCACAAAGAGGCAGUUAUCACUUCAGGUGAGAAAAUAAAUGGCCCACACAGAAGAUCACUUGAAAUCUUCAGUAUUAUCUUAAUGCAAUUUUUCCUCGUAAAGACUUAACUUCAUAGGAGAAAAAUGACUGUAAACCUAGAAAACUAACCCACAAGGCAAUGGAAUUAAAUCGCAAAGUACACGCUGGCUUGCAAUUGGCUCUUUCGUUUGAGCACGUGUGAACGCCUUUGUAGUGCAGUCUUACCUUUAAGCAAGGGAAACCGAGUGUCUGAUUCUAGGAAGUAGACAAAUCAGUGUCCAACGUGGCUAAAGAGACAACGUUUGAUUCUGGCCAACCAGAGAGUUGCACGUGCUCAGUGGUCACCUGGCUGAUGACGGGGCCCUCGAUCAAGACCGUGUCCAACAGUGACCACCCAUCACGUGAGACAGACCGACGUCACGAGAGCCGUGCAGGCCGAGGGCAUCUAGAACGUGGUGUGGCUCAGACCACUGAGGCCCAAGUAAGUCUGUUCACCACAUCCCACGAGCCUGAGCCUUCAAGACAUGAUCACGACGUUUUAGUCGUCAACACAAACAUGCGAUGAUUUUGAAUUUCCCAAUCACCCCCCGCCUCAAAUAUGUGAUAUCAAAUCUCUUUCUCCAUCUGGGUCACGCCUCUUGAUGACAUGUUAAGAAAAGUCACUUUCUGUUGUAAACAUUUAGUUUAGUCUCCAGGGAACACUUCGCUCCUUUUUUUUUAUUGGAGCAUAACUGCUUUACACCGCUGUGCUUGCUUCUGCCGUACAACGAAGUGACUCAGCCAUCACAUACCUAUAUCCCCUCCCGCUUGGACCUCGCUUCCCCCAUCCCGCCCAUCUAGGUCAUCACGGAGCACCGAGCUGAGCUCCCUGUGCUUACAGCAGGUUCCCACUAGCUAGUUAUUGUACACAUGGUAGUGUAUAUAUGUCAAUCCUAAUCUCCCAAUUCAUCCCACCCUCCCCUUCCCCACCGUGUCCACAUGUCCGUUCUCUACGUCUGUGUCUCUAUUCCUGCCCUGCAAGUAGGUUCAUAUCUAUCAUUUUUCUAGAUUCCACAUAUAUGCGUUAAUACACAAUAUUUGUUUUUCUCUUUCUGGCUUACUUCACUCUGUAUGACAGACUCUGGGUCCAUCCGCAUCUCUGCAAAUGACACAGUUUUGUUCCUUUUUAUGGCUGAGUAAUAUUCCAUUGUAUAUAGGUACCACAUCUUCUUUAUUCAUUCAUCUGUCAUUGGACAUUCAGGUUGUUUCCAUGUCCUGCCCUGUUGUAAAUGGCGCUGCAAUGAACACUGGGGUGCGUGUGUCCUUUUGAACUAUGGUUUUCUCUGGACAUGUGUCCAGCAGCGGGAUUGCUGGGUCACAUGGUAGUUCUAUUUUUAGUUUUUUAAGGAACCUCCUUACUGUUCUCCAUAGUGGCUGUAUCAAAUUACAUUCCCACCAACAGUGCAAGAGGGUUCCCUUUUCUCCACACCCUCUCAAGCAUUUACUGUUUGUAGAUUUUUUGAUGAUGGCCAUUCUGACUGGGGUGAGGUGAUACCUCACUGUAGUUUUGAUUUGCAUUUCUCUAAUUAGUGAUGUUCAGCAUCCUUUCAUGUGUUUGUUGGCAAUCUGUAUGUCUUCCUUGGUGAAAUGUCUAUUUAGGUCUUCAGCCCAUUUUUUAAUUGGGUUGUUUGUUUUUUUUAUAUGGAGCUCCAUGAGCUGUUUGUGUAUUUUGGAGGUUAAUCCUUUGUCCGUUGCUUCGUUUGCAAGUAUUUGUCCCAUUCUGAGCAUUGUCUCUUCAUCUUAUUUAUGGUUUCCUUUGCUGUGCAAAAGCUUUUAAGUUGCAUUAGGUCCCAUUUGUUUAUUGUUAUUUUUAUUUUCAUUACUUUAGGAGGUGGGUCAAAAAAGAUCUGGCUGUGGUUUAUGUCAGUGUUUUUCGUAUGUUUUCCUCUAAGAGUUUUAUAGUGUCCAGUCUUAUAUUUAGGUCUUUAAUCCAUUUUGAGUUUAUUUUUGUGUAUAGUGUUAGGAAGUGUUCUAAUUUCAUUCUUUGACAUGGAGCUCUCCAGUUUUCCCAGCACCACUUAUUGAAGAGGCUGUCUUUUCUCCAUUGUAUAUUCUUGCCUCCUUUAUCAAAGAUAAGGUGACCAUAUGUGCGUGGAUUUAUCUCUGGGCUUUCUAUCCUGUUCCAUUGAUCUAUAUUUCUGCUUUUGUGCCAGUACCAUACUGUCUUGAUUACUGUAGCUUUGGAGUAUAGUCUGAAGUCGGGGAGCCUCGUUCCUCCAACUCCAUUUUUCUUUCUCAGGAUUGCUUUGUCUAUUCGGGGUCUUUUGUGUUUCUACACCAAUUGUGAAAUUUUUUGUUCUAAUUCUGUGAAGAAUGCCAUUGGUAAUUUGAUAGGGAUCGCAUUGAACCUGUAGAUUGCUUUGGGUAGUAUAGUCAUUUUCACAAUAUUGAUUCUUCCAAUCCAAGAACAUGCUAUAUUUCUCCAUCUUUUAUAUCUGAUUCAAAAUGCUCUUCCCCCAGGAAUUCCCUGGUGGUCCAGUGGUUAGGACUCAGUGCUUUCACUGCCCGGGCCUGGGUUCGAUCCCUGGUCAGGGAAAUAAGGUCCCAAAUGCCACGAGAUACAGCAGCCAAAUAAAAAAAAUAAUAAAAAACAAACAGAAAACAAGAAGAA